rnacentral:rRNA from 1 species
UACGUAGGGGCCGAGCGUUGUCCGGAGUUAUUGGGCGUAAAGCGCGCGCAGGCGGCUUGACGCGCCCGACGUGAAAGCCCCCGGCUUAACCGGGGAGGGUCGUCGGGUACGGUCAGGCUUGAGGGCGGGAGAGGGUGGUGGAAUUCCCGGUGUAGUGGCGAAAUGCGUAGAGAUCGGGAGGAACACCUGUGGCGAAGGCGGCCACCUGGGCCGACCCUGACGCUGAGGCGCGAAGGCGUGGGGAGCGAACGGG